rnacentral:rRNA from 1 species
UACUCMUACGGGAGGCAGCAGUGGGGAAUAUUGGACAAUGGGCGCAAGCCUGAUCCAGCAAUGCCGCGUGUGUGAAGAAGGUCUUYGGAUUGUAAAGCACUUUCGACGGGGACGAUGAUGACGGUACCCGUAGAAGAAGCCCCGGCUAACUUCGUGCCAGCAGCCGCGGUAAUACGGAGGGGGCUAGCGUUGCUCGGAAUGACUGGGCGUAAAGGGCGCGUAGGCGGAUGACACAGUCAGAUGUGAAAUUCUCGGGCUUAACCUGGGGGCUGCAUUUGAUACGUGUGAUCUAGAGUGAGGAAGAGGGUUGUGGAAUUCCCAGUGUAGAGGUGAAAUUCGUAGAUAUUGGGAAGAACACCGGUGGCGAAGGCGGCAACCUGGUCCUUGACUGACGCUGAGGCGCGAAAGCGUGGGGAGCAAACMGGRUUAGAUWMCCYKGGURGUCCMCGCUGUAAACGAUGUGUGCUGGAUGUUGGGCGACCUAGUCGCUCAGUGUCGUAGCUAACGCGAUAAGCACACCGCCUGGGGAGUACGGCCGCRAAGGUUGAAACUCAAAGGRAAUUGACGG